GAUGAACGCUGGCGGCGUGCCUAAUACAUGCAAGUCGAGCGAAUGGAUUGAGAGCUUGCUCUUAUGAAGUUAGCGGCGGACGGGUGAGUAACACGUGGGUAACCUGCCCAUAAGACUGGGAUAACUCCGGGAAACCGGGGCUAAUACCGGAUAACAUUUUGAACCGCAUGGUUCGAAAUUGAAAGGAGGCUUCGGCUGUCACUUAUGGAUGGAUCCGCGUCGCAUUAGCUAGUUGGUGAGGUAACGGCUCACCAAGGCAACGAUGCGUAGCCGACCUGAGAGGGUGAUCGGGCACGCUGGGACUGAGACACGGCCCAGACUCCUGCGGGAGGCAGCAGUAGGGAAUCUUCCGCAAUGGACGAAAGUCUGACGGAGCAACGCCGCGUGAGUGAUGAAGGCUUUCGGGUCGUAAAACUCUGUUGUUAGGGAAGAACAAGUGCUAGUUGAAUAAGCUGACACCUUGACGGUACCUAACCAGAAAGCCACGGCUAACUACGUGCCAGCCGCCGCCGUAA
rnacentral:rRNA from 1 species